rnacentral:lncRNA from 1 species
UUUGUUUUUCUUAGGCUUUAGCUGUUGAUCUCUUUCUUCUGAGCUUUUAUUUUAAUUCCAGUUAGUUAAGAGGGUUAUAUUAGUUUCAGGUGUAUGAUAUAGUAGUUCCAUUAUUUCACACAUUGCCCAUAGCUCAUGACAAGUACUUUCCUUAAUCCCCAUCACCUAUUUCCCCCAUGGCUUCCACUCCUCUGCUUAUCCAUUUCUUAAAAACACUCAAAAUGACUCUAUAGCUUCAUAACUCUUCAACUCGUCAAAGUACCUAAACCUGAUUUUACCUCCAGCAGGUUGAAUGAGGCAAGAUGAUCAUCUCCAUUGGAGGCACGGGGUAGCUGAGGCAAAGUGAGGAUGAGUCUCCUGAGUCCUGCAACAGCCAUGAGGGGCCUGCAAAGGCAUAGAGCAUGUGCUGGAUCAGGCUUCUUGCUCUAGAUGCCAGAUGGGCAUCUCACUAGUUGCUCUCAUCUGUCUUCUGGCAAGGCAGUGUUUCCUGCUCUGCUUCUCUCCCCUCCCUUAUACUCCUUGCCCCCCAUUCUCUGAGAGCAUGGUUAAUAAAUAACAUAGUUCUCCAUCUGUACAUCAUUUGUUUGGGAAGGCAUUGCACUAGGUCUGGUCUCAGAUGCUGUGGAAUGGAUUCUUGAAUCUGGUUGGUGAGAGAGGACCAUGGGAUUCAUCAGUAUCUCUGUGUUGUGCAUGGAAAUGCUUGUUGUGAGGAUUCAUUUUUUAAGCAAAUGUACAUUCCUCUUGCUUCUAUCUAAAUCAAUAAUUCCUUUCAUAUUUUACUUUCCUGUUUUCACUUUUCCUGUAUUUCACAAAUAAUUAUCCAUAAUCACAUAUAUUUGGAUGUAGACUGUUAUCAAGUGCCAGCCUUUUCUUUUCCAGGGCAUAGCCCAAAAUUAUACAGAUUUCAAGAUUGUUGGAAUAAGAAAGACCCAUAGAUAGUAUCAAGACUUGCUUUUAACUUAGGGGCUGGACUCUGACAGUAGUAAUGCAAGGGUAGCAAUGAUCUAUUUUCAGUUUUAAAAAGGGGAAUAUUUACCAGUGAUAAAUUAUAUAGGCUAUAAAAAUGUAAUUUUUCAGCUCUUGGCAAUAAUUAUAUCAACUUAGUGUAUUAACACUGGUUGUCUCAGGGAAAAAUAAAAAAAAAAUAAUCACCUAAUAAAGGGGAUUUGGUGGUCCAAAAUUUUCUCAGCAUGAGCCCAAUGUGAGGGAGAAGUAGUAAAUGUGAUCUUUUGUGUUCAAAAGGUAAGAGACUUCUCAUCAGAGGUUUACUGCAUAUCCAAACAUCGGAAGUGGUUGAGGCAAGGUUAAAACUCAGGAAUUUUGAGUUUUACCCAAGUGAUUCUCACUGCAAAAUAGAACACUGAUUUGCUUUUUCAUUCAACAAACAUUUACUGAGUGCCUAUAAUGAGUUGGAUAGGCAGAAAUGGAAAGACACAAGGGACAUGAAGCCAAGCAGGAAGACAGAUAUGCCUCUCUGCAGAGUGAUUCAUAGGCAACAGCACAGGUGUGCUCUGCUGGAGUAGAGAGAUGGGCUGGGAAACCCUGUAAAUCCUACAUUUUCUGUUUUUAUUGACUAUUUCGUAUCUGUUGUACUUACAAAAUUUGCCUAUUUUAUAGCUAUUUCUCUCUCUCUCUUUUUUUUUUUUUGCUUUUAAUGUAGGAUAUUAAAUUCCUCUAUGAAGAUCAGCCCUUUUUCUACUUUUUUAAAAAAAAUUUUUAUUUUUAUUAUUUUUUUCCCUUUUUCUACUUUUAAACUUCUUACACCAUAGCUAUAUCUCCCCUAGCUUGGUGUCUUCAGGAAAUACUUUCUUGAGAGUAAUGAUUGGCAGUUUGUUCCUCUUCCAUUUAGAAGAUGAUAAUCAAAAAAAAAAAAAAUAGAA